rnacentral:tRNA from 1 species
AGGGUGUUAGUCCAAAGAAAGACCUCUGAUUUCGGCUCAGAAGACCGUGGCUCAAUUCCACGACUCCCUU